UGCAGUCGAGCGAAUCUGAUGGGAGCUUGCUCCCUGAAGAUUAGCGGCGGACGGGUGAGUAACACGUGGGUAACCUGCCUGUAAGACUGGGAUAACUCCGGGAAACCGGGGCUAAUACCGGAUAACUUCUUUUAUCGCAUGGUGAAGGAUUGAAAGAUGGCUUCGGCUAUCACUUACAGAUGGACCCGCGGCGCAUUAGCUAGUUGGUGAGGUAACGGCUCACCAAGGCGACGAUGCGUAGCCGACCUGAGAGGGUGAUCGGCCACACUGGGACUGAGACACGGCCCAGACUCCUACGGGAGGCAGCAGUAGGGAAUCUUCCGCAAUGGACGAAAGUCUGACGGAGCAACGCCGCGUGAGUGAUGAAGGUCUUCGGAUCGUAAAACUCUGUUGUUAGGGAAGAACAAGUACCGUUCGAAUAGGGCGGUACCUUGACGGUACCUAACCAGAAAGCCACGGCUAACUACGUGCCAGCAGCCGCGGUAAUACGUAGGUGGCAAGCGUUGUCCGGAAUUAUUGGGCGUAAAGCGCGCGCAGGCGGUUUCUUAAGUCUGAUGUGAAAGCCCACGGCUCAACCGUGGAGGGUCAUUGGAAACUGGGAGACUUGAGUGCAGAAGAGGAGAGCGGAAUUCCACGUGUAGCGGUGAAAUGCGUAGAGAUGUGGAGGAACACCAGUGGCGAAGGCGGCUCUCUGGUCUGUAACUGACGCUGAGGCGCGAAAGCGUGGGGAGCAAACAGGAUUAGAUACCCUGGUAGUCCACGCCGUAAACGAUGAGUGCUAAGUGUUAGAGGGUUUCCGCCCUUUAGUGCUGCAGCUAACGCAUUAAGCACUCCGCCUGGGGGAGUACGGGCCGCAAGGCUGAAACUCCAAAGGAAUUGACGGGGGGCCCGCACAAGCGGUUGGAGCAUGUGGGUUUAAUUCCAAGCAACGCCGAAGAACCUUACCAGGGCUUGACAUCCUCUUGCAACCCUAAAAAAUAAGGGCGUUCCCCUUCCGGGGGA
rnacentral:rRNA from 1 species